AACCUGGUUGAUCCUGCCAGUAGUCAUAUGCUUGUCUCAAAGAUUAAGCCAUGCAUGUCUAAGUAUAAACCUUUAUACGGUGAAACUGCAGACGGCUCAUUACAACAGUGAUAAACUAAUGGACUUUCGCGCCUUUAAAAGCGUCUUGGAUAUCCGCAGUAAAUCGGGGCUAAUACAUGCAAACGAAAGGGUGAGCGGGUAACCGCGAGCCUUUGCAAUUAUUUUAGCUUUUGCUACCAACCUCUUAGGAGUUUGUGUUGAAUCCGAAUAAUUUUGCUGAUCGGAAUUUUAUUCCGACAAGUUCAAAGUGUCACUGCCCUAUCAACUUUCGAUGGUACGGUAUUGGCCUACCAUGGUUGUAACGGGUAACGGGGAAUCAGGGUUCGGUUCCGGAGAGGGCGCCUGAGAAAUGGCGACCACUUCUACGGAAGGCAGCAGGCGCGCAAAUUACUCAAUCCCAAUACGGGGAAGUAGUGACAAUAAAUACUGAUGCCUUUCCAUUUUAUGGAGGGUAAUUAGAAUAAGUACAAUUUAAAUCGCUUAGCCAAAGUGAUUGGAGGGCAAGUCUGGUGCCAGCAGCCGCGGUAAUUCCAGCUCCAAUAGCAUAUACUAAAUUUGUUGCAGUUAAAAAGCUCGUAGUUUAGAAUGAAAUUUUUCGAGGGAUUUUGAUUUUACAAUCUGAACCCUGUCUUAAAUUGCCUUACGGGUUAAUUUUUGACUGUCUCGAUAAUUUCAAUUUUGCCUUUAGGCAUUUAUGUCUAUUAGGUAGGUCCACUGUGAGAAAAUUGUGGUGUUUAAAGCGGACGUUUUUGUUUGUUCAUUGCAGCAUGGUAUGGUAAAACAAGACACUGUUCACUCGUUGGUUGUGAAUCAGUGUAAUGACUAAUAGGGAAGGACGGGGCCGUUCAUAUUGAUGGGCGAGAGGUGAAAUUCGUUGACCCUAUCAAGAUGCACUACAGCGAAAGCAUUCGGCAAGUACUUCCCCAUUAAUCAAGAACGAAAGUUUGGGGAUCGAAGACGAUCAGAUACCGUCGUAGUCCAAACCAUAAACUAUGUCGACCAGGGACUGGACGGAUGAUUUUUAAAAAACUCGCUCAGAACCUUGUGGGAAACCAUGAGUGUUUGGAUUCCGGGGGGAGUAUGGUCGCAAGUCUGAAACUUAAAGGAAUUGACGGAAGGGCACACAAUGGAGUGGAACCUGCGGCUUAAUUUGACUCAACUCGGGAAAACUUACCAAGCUCAGAUAUAGUAAGGAUUGACAGACUAAAAGAUUUUUCAUGAUUCUAUAAGUGGUGGUGCAUGGUCGUUCUUAGUUGGUGGAGUGAUUUGUCUGGUCAAUUCCGAUAACGGACGAGACCUCUACCUACUAAAUAGUGGUAUUUAUUUUGUCGUUAUGGGGGAUAGUUAGUUGGCGAGAGUAGUAGGUUUUCGGAUUUAUUAUUUCUCGUUGAUUGGUGUGUACCUCGAUAAGAUAGAUUACUUCUAAAAAUAACUUCUUAGAGGGACUACCCACCUCAAGUGGGGGGAAGUCGGAGGCAAUAACAGGUCUGUGAUGCCCUUAGAUACCUUGGGCUGCACGCGCGUUACAAUGAAAGCGUGAAAAAGGCUCCCAGCACCGGAGGGUGUUGGAAAUCAUAUGAAUCACUUUCGUAAUGGGGAUUGACCUUUGUAAUUAUCGGUCAUAAACGAGGAAUUCCUUGUAAGCGCAAGUCAUUACCUUGCGUUGAAUAUGUCCCUGCCCUUUGUACACACCGCCCGUCGCUCCUACCGAUCGAACGAUUAGGUAAAACUGACAGAUUGUUUUGUAAGGUAGCAAUAUUUUACAGAAUGAAAAGUUAUUUAAAUCUCAUUGUUUAGAGGAAGGAGAAGUCGUAACAAGGUAUCAGUAGGUGAACCUGCAGAAGGAUCAA
rnacentral:rRNA from 1 species